GACGUAGGAUGCAAGCGUUGUCCGGAUUUAUUGGGCGUAAAGAGUUCGUAGGCGGUUCGUUAAGUCUGAUGUUAAAGACUGGGGCUCAACCUCGGAAGUGCAUUGGAUACUGGCGGACUGGAGUACGGUAGAGGCAAGUGGAAUUCCCAGUGUAGCGGUGAAAUGCGUAGAUAUUGGGAAGAACACCGGUGGCGCAAGCGACUUGCUGGGCCGUAACUGACGCUGAGGAACGAAAGCUAGGGUAGCGAAUGGG
rnacentral:rRNA from 1 species